rnacentral:rRNA from 1 species
AACGAACGCUGGCGGCAGGCCUAACACAUGCAAGUCGAACGGGUGCCUUCGGGCACUAGUGGCGGACGGGUGAGUAACGCGUGGGAACGUACCCUUUGGUUCGGAAUAGCCCUGGGAAACUGGGAGUAAUACCGGAUACGGUCGAGAGACGAAAGAUUUAUCGCCGAAGGAUCGGCCCGCGUUGGAUUAGGUAGUUGGUG